CCUACGGGUGGCUGCAGUGGGGAAUAUUGGGCAAUGGAGGCAACUCUUACCCAGCAAUGCCGCGUGAAUGAAGCAGGUCUUCGGAUUGUAAAGUUCUUUAAUUGGGGACGAAAAAAAUGACGGUACCCAAGGACUAAGCCCCGGCUAACUACGUGCCAGCAGCCGCGGUAAUACGUAGGGGGCAAGCGUUGUUCGGCAUGACUGGGCGUAAAGGGUGUGUAGGCGGUGUAGCAAGUUAGAAGUGAAAACCACGGGCUCAACCUGUGGCCUGCAUUUGAAACUGUAGUUCUUGAGUACUGGAGAGGCAGACGGAAUUCCUAGUGUAGCGGUGAAAUGCGUAGAUAUUAGGAGGAACACCAGUGGCGAAGGCGGUCUGCUGGACAGCAACUGACGCUGAGGCGCGAAAGCGUGGGGAGCAAACAGGAUUAGAUACCCGUGUAGUC
rnacentral:rRNA from 1 species